GAGGUCUUGCCGGCAGCUCCGUCCUCCUCGCUGCUCUGGGCGCCCAAGAGGUGACUCGCUUCGGGGGGAAUGGGGAACGAGCGGGAGGUGUUGAUCUUCCCGCUGAACCGCUGCAUGCUACACGCGGGUGAGGAUCAGUCCCACGUCAGUGGAAGGAAGAACGAGGAAUCCUGCUCCCCGGUCCUCUGCACCGGCACCCGGAAAGAAGCGGGGGGGGGGGGGGGGGGGGGAGAUCGAGAGAGCAGAGACGGGGGGAGUGAGGGGGGGAAGAAGAGAGAAGAUAGACAAAUAAAUAAUAAAACGCAAUCGAGCCGUAACACCACAGGCCCCGGGAAUGCUGCACCAUCCAGUGCUGGGAAGGAAAAAAAAAGAUAAAAGAGAAGAAAAAAAAAGAACCAAAACACUCCACGAAGACGUACCCCCGAUAAUGGCGCCUGAGUGGAUCAGCAUUAAAUGUGCUUUGGGGGUGUGCGUGUGUGUUUGCAAAAGCAGGUGGAAAAAAAAAGGAAGGGGGGCUGGCUCAAUCGCUCGCUGUCAGCGGCUCCCCAGGCAGAGGUGGCGGAGCAGUCGCCUCCGAGGUCGCAUACCAACAGUGUGCACAAGCGAGAGGCAGAGUGACAGAGUGUGUGAGACGGAGUGGAAGAGGCUGGGAAGCCUCAUUCAAAGCACGUUGCUCUUCUGGGGAAGGAGGGCUCUUCUACAACCAUAUCCUUUUCGGCACCUUUUUUUUUUUUCUGCCUGUUUUUUUUUUUUCCCGGGGAAACAACUCAAAAAAAAAAAAAAAAAAAAAAAAAAAGGCAACAGACACCUGAUCGCCAGCCGUGAGAGAGAGAGAAAAAGAGGUGGGGAGGGGGCAGGCGAGGCGGGGAGGAGGGAGGCGGGACCGGCAGCUGGAGGGGCUCCGGGAUGCCGAUGUGCGCGGAGCGGCUCGGCCCCGGGGAGGGGGCGAGGGAAGGGCGGGUGAAGCCUCCCCGCUGCCCUGCCCUGCCCAGCGGCCGCGGGCACAUCCCAGCCCGGCAAGCGGGCAGUGCCCAUCCCCGUCCCCUCCGCCCGUCCUCCUCCUUCCAACCACGGUCGAGGAAAGGAGGGAGAAGGGAGGGUUGCGGGGUGGCUUUUUUUGGGAGGUGGUUGUUGUCGUCGCUUUUUUAAAAGAUUCUGGUAAAUCGUGUCUCUCUUACUAUUUUUGUAUUAAUUCAUUUUUUGCUGCAUUAAAACGUGCUUCAGCGCCCCUCAGUGGAAAUCCGCCCAAAGCGGCACCGGCUGGGGAUAAACAACCGCGGUCCCGGCGCCGGGGAUGGAUCCGGGAUUGGGCUGAGCUGGGCUGGGCUGGGGUUGGGGUCGGGGUCGGGUCCAGGGCCGACUGGGACUCGCCCGCCGCCGCGGCCCUUGCGCGGGAGCGCCGGGAUCCGCUCCCUGGGCCCGGGAAGCGCGGCCGCCGAUCAACGCUCCCGGCAGGGACAGCGGGAAUGUGCUCGGCCACGCUCCCGGGCUUGGGCUCGGGGUCCAGCCCCCGCCAGCCCAGCACGGCUGCGUCGGGAUAGAGGGUGACAAUUCCUGUUGCUCCAGCAUCAAGCUCCGUGGUUUCCAUAGCAACGAAUGCUUAGGUUUAAAGGAAAGUGGCAGAGUUGCUGUCCCCUAUUUCUGCUCCCCGAAAUCCUCCUCUUUGACCUCUAAAUUUACCAGAGAUUUUGGGAUUACAACACACAAAGCAUAAACCAGCUUUUGCCCAUUCCCAUUGAGAGACUUGCUGCUGAAGAGCUCACAAACUUGAGUAUACUUUAACCGGUGGAUUUGAUGGGCUGAAAUGUUUCUAAACAUUUUCUUGAUUAAAGUUUUAGCUGUCAAGAUAAUA